GUUGCCUGACGAAAAGGGCUACCUUGAUAGGGUAAAUUAUGUAAUAAUAUUACAUUCAUUA
rnacentral:tRNA from 1 species